GACGAACGCUGGCGGCGUGCCUAAUACAUGCAAGUCGAACGCAGUGGGGACGGGUGAGUAACACGUGGGUAACCUCCCCUCAGAGGGGAUAACACUUGGAAACAGGUGCUAAACCGUUACUGAUGGCUGGCCCCGCGGUGCAUUAGCUAGGUGGUGAGGUAACGGCUCACCAAGGCCACGAUGCAUAGCAUACCGGGGAGGGUGAUCGGCCACACGGAGACUGAGACACGGCCCAGGCUCCUACGGUAGGCAGCAGAAGGGAAUCUUCGGCAAUGGAAGGAAGGCUGACCGAGCAACGCCGCGUGAGUGAAAAAGGUUUUCGGAUCGGAAAACUCGGAUGUUAGAGAAUCGGUAUCUAACCAGAAAGCAACGGCUAACUACGUGCCAGCCGCCGCGGUAAUAC
rnacentral:rRNA from 1 species